rnacentral:rRNA from 1 species
CCUACGGGAGGCAGCAGUGAGGAAUAUUGGUCAAUGGACGAGAGUCUGAACCAGCCAAGUAGCGUGAAGGAUGACUGCCCUAUGGGUUGUAAACUUCUUUUAUAUGGGAAUAAAAUGUUCCACGUGUGGGAUUUUGUAUGUACCAUAUGAAUAAGGAUCGGCUAACUCCGUGCCAGCAGCCGCGGUAAUACGGAGGAUCCGAGCGUUAUCCGGAUUUAUUGGGUUUAAAGGGAGCGUAGGUGGGUUGUUAAGUCAGUUGUGAAAGUUUGCGGCUCAACCGUAAAAUUGCAGUUGAUACUGGCAGUCUUGAGUACAGUAGAGGUGGGCGGAAUUCGUGGUGUAGCGGUGAAAUGCUGAGAUAUCACGAAGAACUCCGAUUGCGAAGGCAGUUCACUGGACUGCAACUGACACUGAGGCUCGAAAGUGUGGGUAUCAAACAGGAGUAGAUACCCCAGUAGUC